rnacentral:rRNA from 1 species
GUAGGGGGCAAGCGUUAUCCGGAAUUAUUGGGCGUAAAGAGUACGUAGGUGGCAACCUAAGCGCAGGGUUUAAGGCAAUGGCUCAACCAUUGUUCGCCCUGCGAACUGGGAUGCUUGAGUGCAGGAGAGGAAAGCGGAAUUCCUAGUGUAGCGGUGAAAUGCGUAGAUAUUAGGAGGAACACCAGUGGCGAAGGCGGCUUUCUGGACUGUAACUGACACCGAGGUACGAAAGCGUGGGGAGCAAA